rnacentral:rRNA from 1 species
AUUGAACGCUGGCGGCAGGCCUAACACAUGCAAGUCGAACGAGUGGCGGACGGGUGAGUAAUGUCUGGGAAACUGCCUGAUGGAGGGGGAUAACUACUGGAAACGGUAGCUAAUACCGCAUACCAUCGGAUGUGCCCAGAUGGGAUUAGCUAGUAGGUGGGGUAAAGGCUCACCUAGGCGACGAUCCCUAGCUGGUCUGAGAGGAUGACCGUCCACACUGGAACUGUGACACGGUCCAGCCUCCUACGGGAGGCAGCCGUGGGGAAGAUUGCACAAUGGGCGCAAGCCUGCUGCAGCCAUGCCGCGUCUAUUAAGAAGGCCUUCGGGUUGUAAAGUACUUUCAGUGGGGAGGCGUUACCCGCAGAAGAAGCACCGGCUAACUCUGUGCCAGCAGCCGCGGUAAUUC